ACAUCUGUUUUGCAGAUGACGACGGAUAUGUUCUAAUUAUCGUAACUAAAUUCAAAGUUAUGAUAAAUGGAACAUAUCCGUCGUCAUCUGCAAAACAGAUA
rnacentral:sRNA from 1 species